AAAAUAAAAAAUAAAAAAAUUUAAGGUUUCACCAAUAUUCCAUCAACCACUAAAUAAAGGACUUAACCUAAAGUGCAAACAUAGUCUCAUCAAACAAAUAAAUAAAAGAAGAAUACAGUAAAAUUGCCCCUGCCUGCAGCCUUGGUAAGUUAGAUCUAACUUGGAUAAAAAAAAUUACCGAACCUCAACUCCAGAUUAAACUUCACUGUAACUUAAAUUUCAAAUUCAAGCAUAAAAAGCUCUACCAUUUGUGUUAAAUUUUAAUUUCCCUGUCAAAAGCAAGCAAAUUCAAGUACAAAAUAGAUAUCGAUCAGGUCUCCUACUUCAUGAAGACUACAGAGGCAAGUUUCUAUAAAAUAGUUUUUCAGAUACCAAUACUUAAUUAAUAGAUGACAGAUAUGUCAACUCAACUCAACUCGACUCAACGCAAUUAAGCCUUCAUCCCAAAACUUAACUCAAUUAAACCUCUAUCCAAAAAAACAAUUGGGGUCAGCUAU
rnacentral:misc_RNA from 1 species